UACGAAGGGGGCGAGCGUUGUUCGGAUUUACUGGGCGUAAAGGGCGCGCAGGCGGCUAUCUUUGUCAGGCGUGAAAGCCCCGGGCUCAACCUGGGAAUUGCGCUUGGGACGGGUUGGCUUGAGAUCGGGAGAGGAGAGUGGAAUUACCAGUGUAGAGGUGAAAUUCGUAGAUAUUGGGAAGAACACCGGUGGCGAAGGCGGCUCUCUGGACCGACACUGACGCUGAGGCGCGAAAGCGUGGGGAGCAAACAGG
rnacentral:rRNA from 1 species